AUUGAACGCUGGCGGCAUGCCUUACACAUGCAAGUCGAACGGUAACAGGUCUUCGGAUGCUGACGAGUGGCGAACGGGUGAGUAAUACAUCGGAACGUGCCUAGUAGUGGGGGAUAACUACUCGAAAGAGUGGCUAAUACCGCAUGAGAUCUACGGAUGAAAACAGGGGAUCGCAAGACCUUGUGCUACUAGAGCGGCCGAUGGCAGAUUAGGUAGUUGGUGGGAUAAAAGCUUACCAAGCCGACGAUCUGUAGCUGGUCUGAGAGGACGAUCAGCCACACUGGGACUGAGACACGGCCCAGACUCCUACGGGAGGCAGCAGUGGGGAAUUUUGGACAAUGGGCGAAAGCCUGAUCCAGCAAUGCCGCGUGCAGGAUGAAGGCCUUCGGGUUGUAAACUGCUUCUGUACGGAACGAAAAGCCCCGGGUUAAUACCCUGGGGUCAUGACGGUACCGUAAGAAUAAGCACCGGCUAACUACGUGCCAGCCGCCGCAGUAA
rnacentral:rRNA from 1 species